UUAUACGACCGUACCGCAAACCGACACUGGUGCGCGAGAUGAGUAUUCUAAGGCGCUUGAGAGAACUCAGGAGAAGGAACUCGGCAAAUUGACACCGUAGCUUCGGAAGAAGGUGUGCCCUAUUAGUGUGAAGUGAACAACGGAGCAUGAAUGGGCUGCAAAAAAUCGGUGGCUGCGACUGUUUAUUAAAAACACAGCACUCUGCAAACACGAAAGUGGACGUAUAGGGUGUGACGCCUGCCCGGUGCUGGAAGAUUAAAUGAUGGGGUGCAAGCUCUUGAUUGAAGUCCCAGUAAACGGCGGCCGUAACAAUAACGGUCCUAAGGUAGCGAAAUUCCUUGUCGGGUAAGUUCCGACCUGCACGAAUGGCGUAACGAUGGCCACACUGUCUCCUCCUGAGACUCAGCGAAGUUGAAAUGUUUGUGAUGAUGCAAUCUCCCCGCGGAAAGACGGAAAGACCCCAUGAACCUUUACUGUAGCUUUGUAUUGGACUUUGAACAGAUCUGUGUAGGAUAGGUGGGAGGCUUUGAAGCAGGGUCGCUAGAUCUUGUGGAGCCAACGUUGAAAUACCACCCUGGUGUGUUUGAGGUUCUAACCUAGGUCCAUUAUCUGGAUCGGGGACAGUGCAUGGUAGGCAGUUUGACUGGGGCGGUCUCCUCCCAAAGCGUAACGGAGGAGUUCGAAGGUACGCUAGUUACGGUCGGACAUCGUGACGAUAGUGCAAUGGCAUAAGCGUGCUUAACUGCGAGACUGACAAGUCGAGCAGAUGCGAAAGCAGGACAUAGUGAUCCGGUGGUUCUGUAUGGAAGGGCCAUCGCUCAACGGAUAAAAGGUACUCUGAGGAUAACAGGCUGAUACCGCCCAAGAGUUCAUAUCGACGGCGGUGUUUGGCACCUCGAUGUCGGCUCAUCUCAUCCCGGGGCUGUAGCCGGUCCCAAGGGUAUGGCUGUUCGCCAUUUAAAGAGGUACGUGAGCUGGGUUUAAAACGUCGUGAGACAGUUUGGUCCCUAUCUUCCGUGGGCGCUGCAGAUUUGAGGAAGCCUGCUCCUAGUACGAGAGGACCGGAGUGGACACACCUCUGGUGUAUCGGUUGUCACGCCAGUGGCAUUGCCGAGUAGCUAAGUGUGGAAGAGAUAACCGCUGAAAGCAUCUAAGCGGGAAACUCGUUUCAAGAUGAGAUCUGCCGGGGCCUUGAGCCCCCUGAAGAGUCGUUCAAGACCAGGACGUUGAUAGGUCAGGUGUGGAAGUGAAAAG
rnacentral:rRNA from 1 species